rnacentral:lncRNA from 1 species
CAACAUAGUACCGGAUUGAAAAAUAACUCAAAGAUGGUAAUUAAAUUAUUUGCUAUCUUUGAUACAAUUGAGAAGACGGUGAAUGAUUUACCGUCUUCUCAUUAUUUUUAAAGACAGUAAAUAAUCCACGUCUUUUUCUUAAAAUCCAUAUAAUUUUAACCGCCGGAUAAAAAUUCUAAUAAUUUUCAUAUAACCUUAACAACAUAAAAAUCCUCACAACUUAUUAAGAAAAGAUCAACAAUAACAAUAUGAAAACGGACCGUGAGGUCGGCAAAAGGAUAGUUAGUUGGCGAAAUAAAAUUUUGAAAAGAUUUUUUUUGGCAAAUUAAAAAUUUUUACAGAAUUAUUAUUAAACGAAAGAAAAGUCCGUCGAUGAACGUCGUACUUUGAAUAACGUGCCUGAAGUAGUUAAAAUCCUCCCCUCAAUCAUUGACAAAUUAGAAAUAACACUUUUUCCUCCACUUUGUCAUUAUAAGAAAGGACUAAAAUUGGAUCCACAAAAUCAUCUUCAUGUUGAAUAUCUAAUAUUAGGGACAAGUGCAUGGAUUCGAAUCAUACCAGGACAGAAAAUAACAAAAUCUAAAAUAUUUUUAAAUUAAACCGAUCAGAAAUAAUCAUAACUGACUAAAUAAUCGACUCAAAAUAGAGAAAGAAAUAUACAAACUUUUCAAAAGUAAUCUAAAAUUGCAAAUCUGGGGCCUAUAACAAUUACAUUUCAAUCCCAAGGGGUUAACUAGUAGAUCUCUAAAAGUUGUUUCCGAAUUAAAGUUGCACGUUGAAAACAGAUAGCCGAGCAAAAAGUUAUAGUCAUAUAAAAAAAAAUUUCGAACUGUUUGUAAAAUUUUCCGAACUUAAAUGAGAUUU